GAUGAACGCUGGCGGCGUGCCUAAUACAUGCAAGUCGAGCGAACAGACGAGGAUCUUGCUCCUCUGACGUUAGCGGCGGACGGGUGAGUAACACGUGUAUAACCUACCUAUAAGACUGGUAUAACUUCGGGAAACCGGAGCUAAUACCGUAUAAUAUAUUGAACCGCAUGGUGCAAUAGUGAAAUACGGUUUUUCUGGCACUUAUAGAUGGAUCCGCGCCGCAUUAGCUAGUUGGUAAGGUAACGGCUUACCAAGGCAACGAUGCGUAGACGAACUGAGAGGGUGAUAGGCCACACUAGAACUGAGCCACGGUCAAGACUACUACGGGAGGCAGCAGUAGGGAACCUUACGCAACGGGCGAAAGCUUGACGGAGCAACGCGAAGCGAGUGAUGACGGUCCUCGGAUCGUAAAAAUCUGUUACUAGGGAAGAACCAAUGUCUAAGUAGAUAUGGCCGUCUUGACGGUACCUAAUAAGAAAGCACCGGCUAACUACGUG
rnacentral:rRNA from 1 species